UACUCCUACGGGAGGCAGCAGUGAGGAAUAUUGGUCAAUGGCCGCGAGGCUGAACCAGCCAAGUAGCGUGAAGGAUGAAGGUUCUAUGGAUUGUAAACUUCUUUUAUACGGGAAUAACAUCACCUACGUGUAGGUGCCUGC
rnacentral:rRNA from 1 species